GAAUAACAUUCGAAAUGUAAAUAAGAAAUACUGAAGUUAAUAAAAAAAAUCACCUAAAAAAAAUGAAUGUUUGAUGAAGUGAAAUAAACUUACCGUGCUGGGGAUUACAAAUCGCCCCUGAGAAAAUACAAAGAGGGGAUUCUAUUAAUUAUCUAGGGUAUAAAAUAAGCCUACAAAGGAUUAGGCCACAAAAGGUGCAAAUCAAAAGAAAUCAAUUAAGGACACUUAAUGAUUUUCAGAAACUACUCGGAGAUAUUAACUGAUUGAGGCCUGUGAUUGGCUUGACCACUCAAGAGUUGAGCAAUUUAUUUCAAAUGUUACAAGGCGAUAAAGAUUUAAAUAGCCCAAGGAAACUAUCAGCUGAGGCUGAGGAAGAGCUAGCUUUGGUAGAAAGGAAAUUGCAGGACACACAGCUAGAUCGUAUUGAUCCAAAGAUGGCCUGAAUAUUAGUCAUCUUACCCUCUACUCAUUCCCCUCAGGAAUUCUCAUGCAGAGGGAAGAUUAUAUCUUAGAAUGGAUAUUUUUAGCACAUAAACAGAGUAAGAAACUGAAAACCUACAUUGAGAAGGUCUCUGAAUUGAUACUUAAAGGAAAAUUGAGACUUCGACAAUUAGUUGGAAUGGAUCCGGCUGAAAUUGUGGUACCUUUUACUAAUGCAGAAAUUGCCUCUUUGUGGGUACAAAAUGAACAUUGGCAAAGAGCCUGCAGUAACUUCUUAGGAGAGAUUAACAACAGAUACCCUAAAAGCAAGCGACUUCAGUUCAUAAAACGAACUAACUGGAUCCUCCCUCGUAUAAUAAAGGGAACUCCAAUAUCUGGAGCCCCUACAUUUUACACUGAUGCCAGUAAGUCAGGAAAGGCAGGAUAUAAAUCAGAAAAUGUAAGCAAGGUGACUGAGAGUCCCUAUAAAUCAGUUCAAAAAUCUGAAUUGUAUGCAAUACUCAUGGUGUUGUCAAAUUUUCAAGAGCCUCUUAAUAUAGUAACUGACUCUCAAUAUGCAGAAAGGGUUGUUUUACACAUAGAGACUGCUGAACUUAUUCAGGAUUAUUCUGAAUUGACAUCACUAUUUAUUCAGCUACAACAAAAGAUCAGAAAUAGGAGUUACCCACUAUAUAUAACACACAUAAGAUCCCAUACAGGUAGCCAGGCCCUCUGGCGCAAGGUAAUAAUGAAAUUGACCAGCUACUGAUAGGAAGUGUACUAGAGGCUUCAGAAUUCCAUAAAAAACACCAUGUUAACAGCAAAGGCUUAAAGAAAGAAUUCUCUAUCACUUGGCAACAAGCCAAGGAGAUUGUGAGGCAAUGUCCUACUUGCUCGUUAUAUAAUCAAACUCCAUUGCCUACAGGAACUAACCCUAAGGGCACCCAAAGAAAUGAAAUUUGGCAAAUAGAUGUUCUCCAUUUUACAGAGUUUGGGGUUAUGCCUAUGUUUCUACAGGAGAAGAAAAGCUGUGGGUUCCUUCCAAGCUGAUAGAUCAGACAUGACAAGGGGAGACCUCCUGAAGUCCUUGGCAACACAGAAGAAAAGGGAGACUAAGACAAUCAACAAAUAGGCCGAUUCGGGUUGGAGAGGAAACUGCAACAUAGAAACAGAAGAAACACUACCCAAGUCAUUCUUUGAAGAUACAAGAAUCAUACAUAAUCAUAGUAAAAGCAAUAUACAGCAAACCGGUAGCCAAUAUCAAACUAAAUGAGAGAAACUUUAAACAAUCCCACUAAAAUCAGCAGGUUUCCUUUCUUGCUUUGAGGAUUACAGUUAAGUGACUGGAUGAAUGUCAGAAGUGACUUUGAACUUGGACUUUUAACAUUGUGGAGACUGAUAUAGACUAUGGGAACUUUUGAAGUUGGACUAAAUAUAUUUUGCAUUUUGUCCUUCAGUUUUUCUUAGAAGGGGGAACAAAAUUAUUCAUAGGAGGAGAUACAGUGACAAAGUUUGGAGCAGAGACUGAAGGAAUCGCCAUUCAGAGCCUGCUCCAUCUGGGAAUCCAGCCCAUAUACCCCACAGCCACCAAACCCAGGCACUAUUGGGAAUGCCAAGAGGUGCAUGCUGACAGGACCCUGAUAUAGCUGUCUCCUGAGAGGCUCUGCCAGAGCAUGACAAAUAUAGAGGUGGAUUCUCACAGCCAACCAUUGAACUGAGAAUGGGGUCCCCAAUGGAGGAGUUAGAAAAAGGAUUGAAGGAGCUGAAGGGGUUAGUAAUCCCAUAAGUACAACAAUACCAACUCACCAGAGCUCCCAGGGACUAAACCACCAUCCAAAGAGUACACAUGGCAGACCCAUGGCUCUGCAUAUGUUGCAGAGGAUGGCCUUUGUGGCACCAAUGGGAGGAGAAGCCCUUGGUCCUGCCAAGGCUGGACCCCAGUCCUCACCAGUGUAGGGAAAUGUCAGGGCAGGGAGGCAGAAAGGGGUGGGAGGACAGGUGGGGGAACACUCUUAUACAAGAAGGGGGAGGAGUUAUGGGAUGAAGGUUUAUGGACAGGAUACAGGCAAAGGGGGAUAACAUUUGAAAUGUAAAUAAAAAAUCCAAUAAAAAGCAUGAAAAAUUUAUUGUAACAUUUAAAACAAUGCUCUAAUAUAUGCAGAUAUUCCUAUUUCCUUUUUAAAAUUUUGUUUUAGAAAAGUUUUGCAACCUACUUCCAUUUCCAUAUUUCUCUCAUGAAAUUCUACUUUUAUUUGACUAGCCCAAAUACCUCACUUAGUCACACAAGAACUUUACAUCUAUUCAAACGAUAAAUUCUUCUUUUAAUGUGUAACAUUCUAUGACUUUGUACUGUAACAAAGGUCUGCAUACACAACUUAGUACCAAUGGGUUCACAAUAAUUUUAGUACACACCUGCACCAGAAUAAAUAGGUAAUGCAUGAGAAUGGUUAGAAAAUCUCCCAGAAUAAAUGCUAAAUGAAAAACAUUAUAACUAAAUGAGGAAGGAAUAUGAAUAUGGAUUCCUAAGAGGGAAAUAAAGAAUUAUAAUCUGAAACUUACCCUUAUUAUGUACUACUCCUGAUGAAAAUUCAAAUGCACCCAAAAGCAAAAGCAUAACAUAUAUAAGUGGUGGUUCCAUCUGUUGAAAUAAAUGAAAAUUAAUUCCAUUCAGCUAUUCUGAAAAUACUAUUCUGCAUUUUUAAAAAUAGACCCAAAUACACAGAGGUAAGAAAACAUCUUUUCAAGUGAUAAUUAUUUUCUAUUUGUGACAAAACCCAAUGAUAGGCUAGAGCUCGAGUGCAUGCCUGGUAAGCAUACAGCCCUCAAUUUGAGCCCAGCACCCAAAUCACAAUUGGCCAAUGAACACAACCCUGAAGCAGACAUACAGCACUUUGCUAAGUUCUAAAUCUCCUAUUCAGGAUUUAAAACACUUAAAACUAUAGUUAAUGUGAGAGACAGAGGCACAGGGCUCAGGGUUUUCCUCAACAUAGAUAUCUGUGUGAGAAGUGAGAUUUAUGACCAUGGAUGGAUCAAUGAUAUGACCCAGAACCUUUAUCAAUAAAUACUCUAGGGAUGGUAGAGCUGAAUACACACACACACACACACACACACACACACACACACACACACAUAUAUAUUUAUAUAUAUGAGGAAGGAAUAUGAAUAUGGAUUCCUAAGAGGAAAAUAAAGAAUUAUAGUCUGAAACAUACCAUUAUUAUGUACUACUCCUGAUGAAAUUUCAAACACAUCUUUUACUAUUCUAACAAUAUUUUGAGAGAUAGUCUACAUAGUUCCAAGUAUCCUUGCAUGUUAUAUCUAUAGCCAGAAUGCAAGUGUCUGAUGCUCUUUAUCCAUGGCGUUUCUGCAGGUUCCUCUUUCAAGCAAACAGAUGUAAAGGGAGUUGCAACACCAGGCCAGUUUCUAUGGUGACUCUUCUAAUAUUAGUGUUCUUCUCCUGGGAUGCAUCUCAUUAUCAUUUAUAAUGAAAUUUGCAUAUUCAAGUCCUGAUUCCCUAGGAUGUGAUCAUAGUUGGAGAAUAAGGUCAUUGGCAGGUCUCUCACUGAAAAUGUCUAGUGUCCUUAAAAGGAAAGUUGAAGCAAAGACAGAGUCAAGAUAAUCAUCUAAAAAUUCAUGGGAGACUAGAACAGAUCAUUCUCUCAUGGCCUAGAAGAAAUCAACCAUGGAAAGCCUAAUGAAAGCCUUUUGACCUCAGGCUUCCAGCCUCCAAACUUGUGGAAAAAAUUCUUUGGCUAAAUCUGCCAAGUGUGUGGUGCUUUGUCUUAGAACCUUAGAAAAUGCUGUUGGACGUUGGAAGUGGAGGAAUUGAAAAGCGCUUCAUGCUGAUACUCUGCCUAUGCUUUUCUCUGUUAGGAAUUUCUUUUGUCUCUGACCUAGGAAUCUAAUGUUUUUCUUGCCAGCAUCCAAGAAAACAGGCACUAGACUGACUUGUCAACUUUAAAUAGACAGAAAUCUCAGAUUCUGGAGAGCUCCUGAUAACUGCUCAACUAAUUAGGAAUUUCCCUCCUUCAAAAUUUGAUUUGUUUAUUUAAGAAUAUUUAACGACCAAGUCCUCAUAUAUCCAUUGGAAUUUUGAAUAUCAUUUUUGUAUAUUGAGGGAGGUCUACUCUUCUGUUUACUCGGUUAUUUUUAGAGAAAGGUCUCACUAUGCUAGGCUGCAACUAACUAUAGACACAAGUCUGUUCUUCAAACCAUGAAGACAGGCCUGCCUCAGCCGCCAAGUGCCAGGAUUUCAAAGCCAUGUACCACAAUACAACCUUUGAAAACUUUUAAAAGUCCAUGUAUUAUUUGUUCUCCACAAACUAAUGGUAAAGCCCUAUUGUUGAAGACAGAAGUUACCUAUCUCAUUGAACAAGAAAAAGUUGAUUUGAUGCCUAACUAGGGCCUUCAUCUCUACAAACCAGAGUUCGUAGUACUGAAAGGUAAUUUUGCACACCAUUGGAAGAUAAAGGCAACAAUCAACCUUGCUAUAAACCUUCUGGUUAAAUCCAAUUAGAAAGUGAUUGGGUUUAAAUCCUACUCCAUGAGAUGGAACCCUAACACUGCUCAGGUUGCCAAGAACCUGAGGCUGAAUAGGUUAUGCAACUAGGAAAAAAACAAAUAACUUUGAUUCCUAUCAAAUUUCUGCUAUACCUAUAGAAGGAUGCCUAAACUCAGCCAUCACCAGAGAAACUUCUUAUUGCAAUGGUUGGGAACUAAUGCAGGGCACAAAACUGGACAAUGUGCUCCGUGUGAGAGACUUUGUAGUAUCCAGUCCUAAAGGAGGUAUUUUCAUCAAACCACCCCCACUCAAGGCUCAGGGAGCUAUGUAAAAGAGGAGGUGAAAAGAUUUUAAGAGCCAGGCGAUAGGUGACUCCAAGGAAACCGUAUCUGCAAAACACACCAGGACUGAUCUACAUAUGAACCUGAGUAUGUAGACACUGUGGCAGCUGGGGUCUCAGCAUUGAGGAGGGGAAUGGGCAUGGGUUCCCAUCCCUAACCAAGGAGUUAUCUCCCAAUGACAUCAUCUUGAAUAGGAAAAAUUACUUUCAAUGGAGUCUCACUGGGUAUAUUAACCAUACUUCAAGGUAGGUUUCAUGUCUAGCAGUACAUGGCCAACAUAAAACAAAAUGCUAAUUUUGUAUCUUGUAUUGCUUUGUUUUUGUUUUGUAUUAUUUUUGUUCUACUGGUCUUUGGCUUGGGUGUUAUGGUUUUCCAAGUUUGUAUUUAUGGUUUUGUAUAUGUGUGUGUCUCUCUUUGUGUGUUUCUUGUGCUUUCUCUUUCUUAUUAUUUUCUUCUACUUUUCUGUUUGUUUUCUAAAGGGAGAAUGGAUAAAAGGUAUGAAGUUGUGUGGGGACAAGAGGAUUUAGGAGGAGUUGGCAGUGAGAAGCUGUGAUCAGAAUGUAUUGUAUGAAAAUAUGUUUUUGCUAUUUUAAAAUAAGUCCAUGUUGUCAGUCACCCUUAUAAAGAAGAUGUCAGAAGGCAAGAGAAAAGAGCUAUUAUGUUAAAGUAUACUAGUGUGGUGCUGGGCUCAAUUAUGUUUCUGUGUGAGAAUAAGUUAAACAUUAAGUUGAGAUAAUCCUUGCUUAAUUUAGAAACAGUGCUGUUGUCAAAAAUCAUGUAUUGGUUACAUAAACAUUUAAAUUAAAUGAUAGAACACCAUUAGAAUCAUUGGUGUUCCUCCUUACUUCAAUGAAAAUGCAUUAUGCCCUAGGUCUGCAGUUUGUUUGACCUAUGGUAUUGCUCUAAUAUACUAUAAUAUCUUCAAUAUUGCUCUAAUCCCUUUUAUUAGGUAGGCAUAAAAUUGCUAAUUUAAUUUUAUUGGAUUAGGUUAUGGCUUAUCUUUGACAGAAGAACUAAGACCUUACUGUGAAAGACUUUAAACAUUCAUGUAGGGAAGAAAUCUGAGGGAAUUAUAAGACAGACACAUCUGAAGUGGGCUCAGGUUCCCUAGGACUCUUGCUAACUGCACACUCAGUUUUACAGGAUUCAGCACUUUUACUUAUUCUUUGAGUUUAAUGACAGAAUGCACCUUAGGGUUCCUGGUUGUUUGAAUUAUCUGCCCUCAUAGUCUCAGUCAUUUGAACACUUGGUUCUCAAUUGAUGGCGGCACUGUUAGGAGCUUUAGGAGAUGUCACCUUGUUGGAGUAAGUAUGUCAUUCAAGGUGGGCUUUGAGAAUUCAGUCUCUCUGUUUUAUGCCUCUGGUGCGAGAUGUGAGCCCUCAGCUUCUUUCUCUUUUUCCAUGUCUUUGCUUUGCUACCAUAGACUCUAACCCUCUGGAAUCACAGGCCCAAACACACUCUUGCUUCUAUAAGUUGCUUUGGUAAUGUCAUUUUAUCACAGUAAUAGAAAACUAACAAUCACAAAAAUACACACACUGAUAAAUGCAUAUUAGUCCAAAAGCUUGAAUUACCCUAGAUACAAUCUACAGACCACAGGAAGCUCAAGAAGAAGGAUGAUCAAAGUGCGGAUGCUUCACUUCUUCUUAAAAGGGGGAACAAAAAUACUCAUAGGAGAGGAUAGGGAGGCAAAGUUUGGAGCAGAGAAUGAAGGAAUGCCCAUUCAGAGCCUGCCCCACAUGUGGCCCGUACAUAUACAGCCACCAAAACUAGGUAAGAUUGAUGAAGCUAAGAAGUACAUGCAGACAGGAACCAGAUAUAGAUGUCUCCUGAGAGACACAGCCAGAGCAUAUCAAUGCUAGCAGCAAACCACUGAACUGAGAAUGGGCCCCCGUUAGAGGAAUUAGAGAAAGAAUUGAAAGAGCUGAAGGGGCUUGCAACCCCAUUAAAACAACAAUGCCAAUCAACCAGAGCUUCCAGGGACUAAACCACUAACCAAAGACUAUCCAUGGACUGACCCAUGGCUUCAUCUGCACAUGUAGCAGAGGAUGGCCUUAUUGGGCACCAAUGGAAGGAGAAGCCCUUGGUGUUGCCAAGGUUGGACCCUCAGUGUAGGGGCAUG